rnacentral:rRNA from 1 species
CGAAGGACCCGAGCGUUAUCCGGAUUUAUUGGGUUUAAAGGGUGCGUAGGCGGAUUAGUAAGUCAGUGGCGAAAGCCCAUCGCUUAACGGUGGAACUGCCAUUGAUACUGCUAGUCUUGAGUAUGGUUGAGGUGGGCGGAAUGUGUCAUGUAGCGGUGAAAUGCUUAGAUAUGACCCAGAACACCAAUUGCGAAGGCAGCUCGCUAAGCCAUAACUGACGCUGAUGCACGAAAGCGUGGGGAGCAAACAGGAUUAGAUACCCUGGUAGUCCACGCCCUAAACUAUGAUCACUCGUUGUUGGCGAUACACAGUCAGCGACUAAGGGAAACCAUUAAGUGAUCCACCUGGGGAGUACGACCGCAAGGUUG